rnacentral:rRNA from 1 species
CAGCCGCCGCGGGAAUACGGAGGGUGCAAGCGUUAAUCGGAAUUACUGGGCGUAAAGCGCACGCAGGCGGUCUGACAAGUCAGAUGUGAAAUCCCCGGGCUUAACCUGGGAACUGCAUUUGAAACUGUCAGGCUGGAGUCUUGUAGAGGGGGGUGGAAUUCCAGGUGUAGCGGUGAAAUGCGUAGAGAUCUGGAGGAAUACCGGUGGCGAAGGCGGCCCCCUGGACAAAGACUGACGCUCAGGUGCGAAAGCGUGGGGAGCAAACAGGAUUAGAUACCCGCUGUAGUCCCUGUCUCUUAUU